UGUAUUAUAGUGUAAUUACAUAUAGAGUUUUGGUCUCUGGGAUAGUAGAGUAGGUUCUACUUAAUAUAA
rnacentral:tRNA from 1 species